rnacentral:piRNA from 1 species
UUGAAAGGAACAUUGUUGACAUGGUA